AUGAGUAGGAAACACGAGAGGGCCCACUUCUUCAGCUCCAAGGAGCAGGAACUCAUUUUGAAGCUGUACGAAGAGGAGCGGGAGAUUCUGACAGCCAAGUCCAACACCACCAGCGCUUCCAAACUGAGAGAGGAGGCCUGGCAGAGAAUCGCUGACAAGAUCAAUGUGGUUUCAGACAGUGGCUACAAAAGGACAUGGCAGCAAGUCAAAGUCAAACACAAAAACAUUGUGCAAACAGCGAAAAGAAGAAGGGCCGAGCUGAUGACCAACCAGGGCGGCUCGGCGACCCUGUCUCUGACCUCCGCCGAGGAAGACCUGCUGCAGCACAAGGACAACAGGCUGCGGGUGGAGGUCCUCCCUGGGGCCGCCUGCAUCGAGCCGCUGCCCGGAUCGGACGGCUCUUUUAUCAGCGGUAGGUGGGGUUCGCCUCGCGUGAAAGUCCGUCUUUUUUCCCCCCACGUAACAGCUUCAUUGAACGUCAGCCUCUGCCGUUACAGUGUCGGGCCAUCCCGUGCUCCUCCUGCCUGUGACCAAGGCCGAACCAGAGAGCUUGAGCAGUGAUGAGACAGACAUCAGUGACACACACUUCGAGGGGGUGAGUGCUUCUUAAACAUGCAGGUUUGUUUGUCUCUUAAUGGUUAACAUAAAGACUUUAUUUCUUUUUUUUAUAGGACGUGCACAGCAGCAGCUUCCGAGAAAGGUCCAACUCGGCAUGCGCUACCAUCGGCAGCAGAAGUGCAGAG
rnacentral:lncRNA from 1 species